UAAUGACUCUCGGCAACGGAUAUCUCGGCUCUCGAAUCGAUGAAGAACGUAGCGAAAUGCGAUACGUGGUGUGAAUUGCAGGAUCCCGUGAACCAUCGAGUUUUUGAACGCAAGUUGCGCCCGAAGCCGUCAGGCCAAGGGCACGUCUGCCUGGGCGUCACGC
rnacentral:rRNA from 1 species